rnacentral:rRNA from 1 species
CACAGCACAUUAAUACAAAUAACAACCACACCAACCAUACUCUUAGUAACCAACAGAGCCACACUAUUCCAAUAGUAGCACUAAUGCUAGAACUAGUAACAAGAAAACUUCUCUAAGCACCCGCGUGACCCAGAAAUAAAAAACAUGCUGGAUACUAACAGACCACAAUAGGCAACAUCUUAAACCUACUGUCAAACCAACACAGGAGUGCCACAAAGACAGGCUAAAAUUUAAAUAAGGAACUCAGCAAACCCUAUCCCAACUGUUUACCAAAAACAUAGCCUUUAGCCCCAAAAGUAUUAAAGGUCCUGCCUGCCCAGUGAACCACUUUAAACGGCCGCGGUAUUCUAACCGUGCAAAGGUAGCGUAAUCACUUGUCUUUUAAAUAAAGACUUGUAUGAACGGCUAAAUGAGGAUAGCCCUGUCUCUUUUAACCAGCCAGUGAAACUGAUCUUCAAGUACAAAAGCUUGAAUACACACAUAAGACGAGAAGACCCUGUGGAGCUUAAAACCAAUACUAUAAAACACUAAAAUAGCGCAAGUUUUAAGUUGGGGCGACUUCGGAAUAAAACAAAACUUCCGAGCACAGAGCCAACCACUCCCACCUAGACCAACAAGUCAAAGAAUCCUCCGACCCAGUAUUACUGAACAACGAACCAAGUUACCCCAGGGAUAACAGCGCCAUCUUCUUCAAGAGUCCAUAUCGACAAGAAGGUUUACGACCUCGAUGUUGGAUCAGGACACCCAAAUGGUGCAGCAGCUAUUAAAGGUUCGUUUGUUCAACGAUUAACAGU